rnacentral:rRNA from 1 species
UACGUAGGGUGCGAGCGUUAAUCGGAAUUACUGGGCGUAAAGCGCACGUAGGCGGAUUGUUAAGUCAGGGGUGAAAUCCUGGAGCUCAACUCCAGAACUGCCUUUGAUACUGGCGAUCUCGAGUCCGGGAGAGGUGAGUGGAACUGCGAGUGUAGAGGUGAAAUUCGUAGAUAUUCGCAAGAACACCAGUGGCGAAGGCGGCUCACUGGCCCGGUACUGACGCUGAGGUGCGAAAGCGUGGGGAGCAAACAGG